rnacentral:rRNA from 1 species
GAUGAACGCUGGCGGCGUGCCUAAUACAUGCAAGUCGAGCGAACAGAUAAGGAGCUUGCUCCUUUGACGUUAGCGGCGGACGGGUGAGUAACACGUGGGUAACCUACCUAUAAGACUGGAAUAACUCCGGGAAACCGGGGCUAAUGCCGGAUAACAUUUAGAACCGCAUGGUUCUAAAGUGAAAGAUGGUUUUGCUAUCACUUAUAGAUGGACCCGCGCCGUAUUAGCUAGUUGGUAAGGUAACGGCUUACCAAGGCAACGAUACGUAGCCGACCUGAGAGGGUGAUCGGCCACACUGGAACUGAGACACGGUCCAGACUCCUACGGGAGGCAGCAGUAGGGAAUCUUCCGCAAUGGGCGAAAGCCUGACGGAGCUACGCCGCGUGAGUGAUGAAGGUCUUCGGAUCGUAAAACUCUGUUAUUAGGGAAGAACAAAUGUGUAAGUAACUGUGCACGUCUUGACGGUACCUAAUCAGAAAGCCACGGCUAACUACGU